rnacentral:miRNA from 1 species
CUGCAAUGAAAUCUAGUAGACCUA